rnacentral:rRNA from 1 species
GGGGGGGGGGGGGGGGGGGGUGGGGGGGGGGGGGUCGGGCGGGGGGGGCCUGGUUGUGGGGGGUGCUCGCGUGGCGGACGGUUGAGUAGCCGGGGGGUCUCCUUCCGUUGACUGGGGGUUACUUUCAGUACGCUGGGUCUACUGCGGUGUAUGAGCUUGUGCUGCGUUUCGUGGGGUGGCAAGUUUCGGCGGUGGUGGAUGGACUCGCGGCUUAUCAGCUUUUUGGGGUUGUAGUGGCUUACCAAGGGGUGGACGGGUCGGAGGACUGAGAGGGUGACCGGCCACAUUGGGACUGAGAUACGGCCCAAACUCCUACGGGAGGCAGCAGUGGGGAAUAUUGCACAAUGGGCGGAAGCCUGAUGCAGCAACGCCGCGUGCGGGAUGACGGCCUUCGGGUUGUAAACCGCUUUCGCCUGUGACGAAGCGUGAGUGACGGUAAUGGGUAAAGAAGCACCGGCUAACUACGUG